UUUCAGCAUCCUGUUACAACAGAAGAAUGUCCCGUCUGUGAAGCCCCAUAUUAUCGAAUAUAAUUAUUGUGAUUUAGUCAUCAGCUCGCCGGGUUCAUUUGAGCUAGGUUCUGAAUCUUGGUCUACACCUCCUCUAACCCAAUGACCGCUGGAUAUGGAAACGAGCCCCCCAUUGCGACCCAGCAAGGAUGAGCUGGUAUUGGCAAAGGAUGGAUGGGUGGAUUCCUGAUGCCAUGACAUCUCAAAUAAUCAGGAAAAUCAACCGGAAAGGGAAUGUACCAACGCCGACGGCUGUCCCAAUUCAUGAAUC